UGGGGAAUAUUGGUCAAUGGGCGGGAGCCUGAACCAGCCAAGCCGCGUGAGGGAAGAAGGCCCUAUGGGUCGUAAACCUCUUUUGUCAGGGAACAAAAGCGAGUAUGUAUACUAGUCUGAGUGUACCUGAAGAAAAAGGCAUCGGCUAACUCCGUGCCAGCAGCCGCGGUAAUACGGAGGAUGCGAGCGUUAUCCGGAUUUAUUGGGUUUAAAGGGUGCGUAGGCGGCGAUGCAAGUCAGCGGUAAAAGCCCGGGGCUCAACCCCGGCGAGCCGUUGAAACUGCAGUGCUAGAGAAGGCGAGAGGUACGCGGAAUGCGCAGUGUAGCGGUGAAAUGCUUAGAUAUUGCGCAGAACUCCGAUUGCGAAGGCAGCGUACUGGCGCCUGACUGACGCUGAGGCACGAAAGCGUGGGGGAUCGAACAGGAUUAGAUACC
rnacentral:rRNA from 1 species